AAGUCGUAACAAGGUCUCCGUUGGUGAACCAGCGGAGGGAUCAUUACUGAGUCACGUGCUCAAACAACCCUUCUGUGGACCUGAAUUAAACCGUUGCCUCGGCGGGCGGUCCCCUGCCAAAACCCACGUGGUUGUGGACAGAGGACCAGACAGUCCGGCACGCUUAAGGCGUCCGGCGCCAGCCGCUGGCCCUAACCAAUUAAACUCUAGUAACCUUACCUUCUGAGUUUUAAUACAAAAAAAAUAAGUCAAAACUUUCAACAACGGAUCUCUUGGCUCUG
rnacentral:misc_RNA from 1 species